rnacentral:rRNA from 1 species
AACGAACGCUGGCGGCAGGCCUAACACAUGCAAGUCGAACGCUCGUAGCAAUACGGGAGUGGCGGACGGGUGAGCAACACGUGGGAACGUGCCCUUUGGUUCGGAACAACUCCGGGAAACUGGAGCUAAUACCGGAUAAGCCCUUACGGGGAAAGAUUUAUCGCCAAAGGAUCGGCCCGCGUCUGAUUAGCUAGUUGGCGGGGUAAUGGCCCACCAAGGCGACGAUCAGUAGCUGGUCUGAGAGGAUGACCAGCCACACUGGGACUGAGACACGGCCCAGACUCCUACGGGAGGCAGCAGUGGGGAAUAUUGGACAAUGGGCGCAAGCCUGAUCCAGCCAUGCCGCGUGAGUGAUGAAGGCCCUAGGGUUGUAAAGCUCUCUCGGCGGGGACGAUAAUGACGGUACCCGCAGAAGAAGCCCCGGCUAACUUCGUGCC